CCUANGGGCGGCAGCAGUGAGGAAUCUUGCGCAAUGGGGGAAACCCUGACGCAGCAACGCCGCGUGAGUGAUGAAGGCUUUCGGGUCGUAAAGCUCUGUCAAGUGGGAAGAAACUGCAUCAUGCUAAUAUCAUGAUGCAUUGACGGUACCACUGAAGGAAGCACCGGCUAACUCCGUGCCAGCAGCCGCGGUAAUACGGGGGGUGCUAGCGUUAUUCGGAAUCAUUGGGCGUAAAGGGCGCGUAGGCGGUCUCUUGUGUCAGAUGUGAAAGCCCUCGGCUUAACCGAGGAAGUGCAUUUGAAACUGAGAGACUUGAGUAUGGGAGAGGGAAGUGGAAUUCCUGGUGUAGCGGUGAAAUGCGUAGAUAUCAGGAGGAACACCGGUGGCGAAGGCGGCUUCCUGGACCAAUACUGACGCUGAGGCGCGAAGGCGUGGGGAGCAAACAGGAUUAGAUACCCGANUANUC
rnacentral:rRNA from 1 species